rnacentral:misc_RNA from 1 species
UUUUUUUUUUUUUUUUUAAUCUUUGGAUUCAUAGCUUCAGCAUGUCGAGAGAGGCCUCCAGUUCUCGAUUCAUCCAUCGAAAUGCUCUUUCGAGGACUCCACAACCACAAGACGAAGCAAACGAGAAUGAAUUCGAAAACUCGCUGAAUUCAGUUCACUUUCCGCCUCCCAGAACACCACUAAACGCUAUUCCUGAUCCAUCUCAGUAUCACACAGAGAUUCAUGAAUCCGAUUUCCAUUCUAAGGGUAAACUAGAAACAGUUCGAGCUGCUAGAUUAUCAGGCAAGAAAUUUGAGCCUGUCGAUAGAGCUGCAAGUUAUGUGACACCUAGGAUUUCGACUCGUCAUGGUAAAGCGCAUUCGGAGCCAAAUUCUGCGCAGAGUGCUCCGGCGAGGACUGGCUCCAGAGCUUCUCUAGGUGGAGCGUUGGGAGCUUAUGCUGUUGGGCUUGGGGCUAGAAGCACACACUUCGCUAAAGGAAAAGAAACAAGCUCUAUUUACAGGCUUUCAAGAGGGAUUUCCGUAGAACAUUCUGAUUUUUCAGUGGAAGUUCCGCAUUUUGAGCUUGAUGAAGAUCCUUCAUUCUGGGCGGAUCACAACGUACAGGUCCUGAUAAGAAUUCGGCCACUUAGUAACAUGGAGACAGUUGCGCAAGGGUAUGGUCGGUGUUUGAGACAGGAGAGUGCACAGACAUUAGUGUGGCUUGGUCAUCCUGAGACCAGAUUCACCUUUGAUCACAUAGCCUGCGAUACCAUUUCACAGGAAAAGCUAUUCAGUGUUGUUGGGAUACCUAUGGUGGAGAACUGUAUGUCAGGGUAUAACAGCUGUAUGUUUGCUUAUGGCCAGACGGGUAGUGGCAAAACAUAUACCAUGAUGGGUGAGAUAAAUCAGCUGGAAGGCAACCUCAGUGAAGAUUGUGGGAUAACCCCUCGCAUGUUUGAGUAUUUAUUUUCAAGGAUUAGAGAGGAAGAAGAAAGUAGGAAAAAUGAAAAGCUGAGGUUCAGCUGCAAAUGUUCUUUUCUGGAGAUAUACAAUGAGCAGAUAACAGAUCUGUUAGAGCCUUCAUCGACCAAUUUGCAACUAAGAGAAGAUUUAAGGAAAGGUGUAUAUGUUGAAAACCUUACAGAAUAUAACGUGAAGACUGUUAAUGAUGUCACCAAGCUUCUGUCACAGGGUGCUGCAAAUAGGAAAAUGGCAGCAACCAACAUGAACAGUGAAAGCAGUCGUUCCCACAGUGUUUUCACUUGUAUCAUUGAAAGCUGGUGGGAGAAAGAUUCUAUGAACCAUUUUAGGUUUGCAAGGUUAAAUUUAGUAGAUUUGGCUGGUUCUGAAAGGCAGAAAAGCUCUGGUGCAGAAGGAGAUCGCCUAAAAGAAGCAGCAAACAUAAACAAAUCUUUAUCAACUCUAGGAUUGGUGAUAAUGUCUUUGGUCGAUUUAGCACAUGGAAAACAAAGACAUGUACCUUACAGGGAUUCUCGGCUGACGUUUCUACUUCAGGAUUCUCUGGGUGGAAACUCGAAAACAACAAUUAUAGCAAAUGUCAGCCCAUCUAUAUGCUCUUCACACGAAACACUAAGCACUCUGAAAUUUGCCCAACGUGCAAAACUCAUCCAAAAUAAUGCUAAAGUAAAUGAAGAUGCUUCUGGUGAUGUUAGUACGCUUCAGCGGCAAAUCCAACAGUUAAAGGAACAACUGUCCUUUAUAAUAAAGCAUCAUAACCUUUCCACAUCUCUAUCUAGUUGUGUGCCAAAUUUUGAAGAAACUAUAUUGGCUAGCUACCCUGAAAUGUAUAAUUCCUCAAAAGAAAAUAGAGCAAUCGAUGGCCAUAACUUAACAAAUUAUGCAUAUGAGAAGGUAAAAUGCAUGGAAGCUACUUUAGUUGGUUCACUUAGGAGAGAAAAGAAGGCAGAAACAGCACUCCAGAAGUUAGAGGCUGAAAUUGAGCAUGUGAACCAAUUUGCUUUCCAAAGGGAGGAAGAAUUGAAGCGAACAAAGAUGAUGCUAAGAUUUCGAGAAGAGAAAAUUAAACAACUAGAGUUUUUAGUGGAUGGUUCAUUGCCUGUUGAUCAUUAUCUCAUGGAGGAAAACAAAGCUUUAAAAGAAGAGAUUCUGCUACUUCAAGCGAGAAUUGACAAAAAUCCAGAUUUGACACGUUUUGCUUUGGAAAAUUUAAAACUUCUUGAGCAGCUUCAAUUGUUCCAGAAUUUUUAUGAGCAAGGAGAACGGGAAACUCUGUUGGCUGAAAUCUCAGAAUUACGUGAGCAGCUCCUGGACAUGCUUGAAAGAAAGCUCAAAUGCUCCUCUGCAUAUGAGAAUCAGGAUAACAAUAUUUUAGAAGAGUUCGAUGAUUGCAGGAACAUGAAUUCCAAACUGAUGAGAGAAGUAGAAGAAUUAAGAGGGGAACUGAAAAAAUUUUCAAGCUGUACUCAAGCUGCUUUUGAUACUGUAAUGGAUUCUUUUUCCAAGGAUCCUGAGGAAAUUAGGCAUACAGAUAAUUACUCAUUAGUCGAGACAGUAUCUAUUGAAAGUGAGUCUGGAGAUGAGAUGGCAUCUUAUAGGCUGGCUGAUGAUGCAGAUCCCAAAAGUAAAAAUAAUUGGAAGAUGGAUGCUAGAUUCUUAAUUGAAUCAAAGGAAACUGAGCAUACCCAUGUAAUUAAAGAACUGCAACUUACACAGGAGCAGAAUCUCCAGUACAAAGUAGAAACAGAAUCUGUUGGAAGUGGGUGUCUAGAAUUACAAAAUUUAGAGAAGCAGAACAAAGGUCUGGCAAUGGAGGGUAGUGAAGAUAUCAAAAACAUGGUGUUGCAAGCAAAGUUGGAGAAAUUGACUAAAGACCUUGAGCAGGCCAGAUUACUUAAUUGCCAAUAUCAAAAGGAUCAGGCUUCACGAUUAUCUCACCAGCAUCAAGUUGAAUUAAUCCAUGAACAAGUUGAGAUAGAGACUGCAAGAACAAUUCUUCAUUUACAGGAGGAGGUUGCUGCCCUCCAAUUGGAAUUUAAUGAGAAAUUUUGUUGCAUGACCCAAGAAAAUAUGAGGCUAAGAAACACCAUAGAGACUAAAGAGGAAGAAAUAAGGGUGCUUUGUCGGGAGUGGGAAAGGGCAACCUUUGAACUGACAAGCUUCCUUGUAGAAGGUUCAAAAUCCCUAGAAGAUGCCUCUGGUCAGAUUGAAACUAUUAUCUGUUCAUUUCCUCAAGUGAAUGUUUGGAUUAGAGAACAUGUUGAGAGGGCUGCCAGAGCUUGCAUUGACAAGGAGGAAGCAAUUUUACGGCUAGAGAAAAGCUUGGAAGAUGCACAGAAGAUGGUGAUAGAAAUGGAGCUGAAGUUAAAUUCCCUGAAGGAGGCAACAAUGGCUUUGAGCGGAUUUCCUCAACCAGAUAAUGAUCAAAGCAUGGAAGAGGCAAUCAACUUAGGCAUGCUGUUAAACGAGAAGAUCAACGUGAUAAAAAUGCUGGAGAGUAAACUCAAAUGCCAGGAGAAUCACAUUAUUGAAUCAGAAAAACGAGCUGAUGCUGCAUUCCUGGUGAUGAAAUGGCUAUCUGAUCAUCUCAAGGUUUCUUCCAGUCAUGACACUGGAAGAGGUAUUCACAUCUCAAAGCUGUCUUCUCCCACUGAAGUGGGCAAUCAUAAGAUUCUUGAGACUAAAGAUGAUGCUAAUGCUCUGACUGUGGAAGAUAUUGAGGCUCAAGUUGAGUUGGAAAGUUUAGUUUUGGAGUCUGAAAAUGCUAUUAAUUCAUGUUACAUGGAUGUAGAGAUGCAUAUAUCAGCCCUCCAAACAGAUAUUCUUCAAGCUUCUACCACAUACACUAAGUGGGUUAAAGACUUGGUGAAUGAAAUCCAAGAGUUGAAGAGUAAAUUUAUGGAAUUAAAGGAAAAUUAUACGGGCUUUCAGUCUUCUACAAACAAAUUUCAACAAUCAGAAUCACUCAUGUUUCAAAAGUUUGAGAACCAGUUGCAUGUUCUGCGUCCAAUAAGAGAUGAACUUGCUACAAUGAAUGAAAGACUUAAAAUCAUUGAUGAUUCUAUAAACAAAAAAAUAAGUGCAAAUGGUUACGAAUUAAAGGAUGAAUAUUUAGCAGAAGCAGACGGCUGGAGUGCUGACAAUUCUUCGUCAGGUUAUUCCACAUCUGGUUCUGAUUUUUCAAAUGAAAGUGCUAUUUUAGGGAAUCAAUUGGAUGGAUUCUCACACACUUGCAGCUCUAAGUUUCAUGGGAAGAUAACAAAACAGAUGAUGGAUCUGAAACUUCCAACAGGCUCAUCAGUUCAAUCUGGAUCAGCAAAUUCAAAGAAGCUGUUUGAAAAAUUAUGUCAUGAUGAAGCAAUGACAUUCUGCCUGAGAAAAGAGCUGGAUACGGUAUUUGAUGCAUUUAACAAACUCUAUAUUCAACUAAGCACAAUUCUCGAUGAGAAUGAUAUUGUGAAUAUUUCUCACCCAGGAGAGAGGAACAAAAUGGUUCAAUCUUUUGGCUUGAUGAUGGAGAUUGGAGAAGCCUCCUGUUGUAAUGCCAGAAAGGUAGUUGCUGAUGACAAGGUUAGUCAAGCCAGUAUUUUCUUAGGCAAAUGUGAGGAAGCCAAUGCAACAAUGAAAGAGGCUGAUCAUAUGUUGAAUGCAUUGCUAAAAGCAAAUGAAAAUGCAAAACAAUUGAAUGGUAUGUGGAAGCAAGCUAGUGAGGAAAUGAUGAUGGAGAGAUCACAAUUACUUGAAGAAAAUAAGCUCCUUAAGUCUUCCAUAUACUUGAAAGAAGAAGAGAACAAAUUACUACUGGAUGAAAUUUCUCAUGGUCUGGUAGGAGUAGCAAAAUGUGUGUCUUUAUUUGAAGAAAGUUUUCUGCGAGUGCAGAGAGAAGUGGAAGACAGAUGUGAGGUUUUGUAUUCUGAUCUCUUAUCUAUGGGCAAAGAGAUACUCCACUUUGUUUGCAGCUCAAGAUCGUCACUUGAAGAUAUUUUCUCUGAUAUGAUGGAGAAGGAAUUGGCCCUUUCUAUCAUGUACCAUUGUGGUGUAGGAGAGGCUAUCCACAAAAUUCCAUGCUUCAAUUUACAAUCUGGAACUCACCCAUUUGGACAGCAAGAAUAUCAGUUGAUAAUAGAUCCUUUGCAUAAGGUUCGCUCCAGCGGUCAAGAUGACUUUAUGAUUUCUAAUAAAAAGGUCUCUGAGGGAGAGGAAAUGGUCACAGACUUGGAAGGAGAGCUGGGUCUAUCAUGUGAUAAUAUGAUGUAUGAAAAUUUGUCUCUUAAGAAAGAAUUGGAAAGGAAAGAAGUUUUAUUAAAGGGUUUGCUUUUUGAUUUUAGUUUGCUGCAAGAAGCGGCCUCAAAGAAAAAGGAUAUCAAAGAUGAAACUGAAAAGCAAAUUUUGGCUUUGAGUGAAGUUCGACAUGAGCUACAGUUGAAAACAGGUCAGCUUGAUAACCUGCUGGUUCAGUAUAAAAAAGUUGAAGGCCAUCUGGCAGAUACUGAAAAUGCUUUAUCCAUAUCAAAGUCUGAUCUUAUGCAUGCUAAGGAAAGAUUAGAUAUUUUGUCAGGCCAAAAUGAAGAGUUAAGAAUGAUUCUAAAAGAUCUCUAUCUCAAAAGAUCCGAAGCUGAAGAACAACUGGCAGAACAAAAGGAAGUUGUCAGAGGGCUGGAAAAGGAAGUUAUUCACUUAAAUUCUUCUUUUGAGAAAAAAUUGCGCUCUUCGGUUGAAGACCUUGAAGAAGACCUACUUAAGGCCACUAAUGAAAGAGAUCAACUCUGUGAAGAGAUUUGCUUUUUGAAUGAUAAGCUUGAGAUGUCACGUGCAUUAGUAGAUGAAAAUGAAGCUAUUGCUGUUGAAGCUCGGCAGGAGUCAGAGGCAAGUAAAAUAUAUGCUGAACAGAAGGAAGAAGAGGUCAAGAUUUUAGAACAUUCUGUUGAAGAGCUUGAAUGUACCAUAAACGUACUGGAGAAAAAGGUAUAUGAAAUGGAUGAGGAGGUAGAAAGACAUCGGUUGAUCAGGGAAUCAUUAGAACUGGAACUUCAAGCUUUGAGACAGAGAUUGUCAACAGUUGAUAACUUCACUGACAUUGUAGAUGCUGAUAACACAAAUUCUUUACAAAACGAAGACCUUAUAUCUAGGAAAUUGAACAAUGAACUGGAACUUCAAGAGGCACAUAAUCAGAUACGAUUUCUUGAGAGGAACAUUGCAGAAAAGGAUGAAGAGAUCAUGCAAUGCAAAGAGUACAUCUCUGAACUUGUAUUGCACUCAGAAGCCCAGGCAUCACAAUACCAAAAGAAGUAUAAGACUUUGGAAGCCAUGGUUCAUGAAGUUAAAACAAGUUUAUCAAAUUCAACAUCAGCAGCUGCAACACAGGAUAAAAGUGAGAAAAGCUCAAUGAAAGCAAGGGGCUCAAGUUCACCAUUUAGAUGCAUUUCAAGUUUGGUUCAGCAGAUGAAUUUGGAGAAGGAUCAGGAAUUAUCAGUGGCAAGGCUUCGCAUAGGAGAGCUAGAAGCAGUGUUGGCUAGUCGGCAAAAGGAGGCAUGUAUGCUAAAUGCAAGACUAGCAGCAGCAGAAAGCAUGACGCAUGAUGUCAUACGUGAUUUACUUGGUGUCAAAUUGGACAUGACUAACUAUGCGAACUUGAUUGACCAGCACCAGGUUCAAAAAUUAGUGGAGGCAGCUCAUCAGCAGACAGAAGAGUUCCAUGCAAUGGAGCAAGAAAUCCUGAACUUGAGGAGACAGAUUAAUGAUCUCAUCAAGGAAAAAGAGAGUUGCAUGUCUGAAAUAAAUAAGAAAGUAGCAGAUAUACUUGCUGCUCAGAUGACUGUAGAGCAACUACAAGAGCGGGAUCAGUUGCUUUCUGCACAGAAUGAAAUGUUGAAGAUAGACAAAACCAAUCUACUGAGGAGAGUUGCAGAACUGGAUGAGAUGGUGAAAACCCUUCUUGGAACACAAAGUACCCAACAGCAGAUUCAACAGACAUCAAAAAAUAAGGAGAAUGGCAUGUUGAAAAUGGGUGAUGCUGAUUUAACCAAGAGGCUAGCGCACUCGGAAAAGCUUCUUGAUCGUGUGAAUAAUGAACUUGCACAGUACCGCAGAUUUAGUAGAAAUCAUCCACAUGACAAUACCUAUGGACAUGGGACUUGGAAUUAAAACAGAGUAGGUCCGCGGGAAUGGUGCCUUUUUUUUUUUUUCCUAGGUGUCAACCAAUGUCAGAAUAGCUUUUGCAUUCAACCAUCUAUGCCAAAAUUGGGGGAAUUUACAAGGAUUGUGAAUACUUUCCAUGUGGUUUGGCCCCGAGAAAAUGACAAGUACAUAACAAUAUGUGCACGUAUACAAUGUAACUGUGCAGUCGGUGGAUGGUUUUUUAUUUUUCUAUUUGUUUAGAAUUGUGGUGGAGUGGUGUUUUAUGGAUUAAGGGGGGUGUUUUUGUUUACAUUUUGGACGCAAUUGAUAGUUGAUAGAUACUAAAAAAUAUAGUGUUUGGUAAAUUUAAAAGAGUAAACCUAAUAAUUG